GGGCCCGCACAAGCGGUGGAGCAUGUGGUUUAAUUCGAUGCAACGCGAAGAACCUUACCUGGUCUUGACAUCCACGGAAGUUUUCAGAGAUGAGAAUGUGCCUUCGGGAACCGUGAGACAGGUGCUGCAUGGCUGUCGUCAGCUCGUGUUGUGAAAUGUUGGGUUAAGUCCCGCAACGAGCGCAACCCUUAUCCUUUGUUGCCAGCGGUCCGGCCGGGAACUCAAAGGAGACUGCCAGUGAUAAACUGGAGGAAGGUGGGGAUGACGUCAAGUCAUCAUGGCCCUUACGACCAGGGCUACACACGUGCUACAAUGGCGCAUACAAAGAGAAGCGACCUCGCGAGAGCAAGCGGACCUCAUAAAGUGCGUCGUAGUCCGGAUUGGAGUCUGCAACUCGACUCCAUGAAGUCGGAAUCGCUAGUAAUCGUGGAUCAGAAUGCCACGGUGAAUACGUUCCCGGGCCUUGUACACACCGCCCGUCACACCAUGGGAGUGGGUUGCAAAAGAAGUAGGUAGCUUAACCUUCGGGAGGGCGCUUACCACUUUGUGAUUCAUGACUGGGGUG
rnacentral:rRNA from 1 species